CAGUAGCCGCGGGAAUACGUAGGUGGCAAGCGUUGUCCGGAAUUAUUGGGCGUAAAGGGCUCGCAGGCGGUUUCUUAAGUCUGAUGUGAAAGCCCCCGGCUCAACCGGGGAGGGUCAUUGGAAACUGGGAAACUUGAGUGCAGAAGAGGAGAGUGGAAUUCCACGUGUAGCGGUGAAAUGCGUAGAGAUGUGGAGGGACACCAGUGGCGAAGGCGACUCUCUGGUCUGUAACUGACGCUGAGGAGCGAAAGCGUGGGGAGCGAACAGGAUUAGAUACCCCUGUAGUCCCUGUCUCUUAUAC
rnacentral:rRNA from 1 species